GGAGCCUUGGCGCAAUGGUAGCGCGUUGGUUUUCGGUCUUGUGCCUGUUCACCAAAGGUUGUGGGUUCGAUCCCCAUGGGCUUCG